AUGAGUCCACUAUACCUUCCUAUAUGCGGUAUUUACCUGCCGUUCCAAGUAAAUUUGUAUGUGCCAAAGUCCAAACCUUCAAAUGAAAUUCUGUUUUGUAUGCUCGAGCAACUCAUGUUACAACUAGGGCUGCCUAUAUCUUCCAUGCUAGGUGAGUUAUUCUCACGAGGAGUGGACUCCGCUCCUCAGUCACGAGAAAGGGCCGGUAACCGGGAUGCCCAGUCCCAUGAUCCAAAAAGAUCAGAGCAAAUCAAAAUAAUUAAACAAAACUCCCCCAGGGCUGUUUUUAGUUGGAGGCACUCGUUGUUUCGAGCAAGCCAUGGAUUGAUGCUUGUUGGUGGUUGGGGGAGAAUAAACCUUUACCAUUCUGUUUGGGAACUGCCUAUAAUGCAUGUAGUAUGGAAGAUACAACCAUCUCAUAGUUGUUGCGUUGACAGUGAAAGUAUGCCGCUCAAAAUGUUAUUCAAUCUCUAUUUUAAAAUCGAGCUCUAG
rnacentral:rRNA from 1 species